rnacentral:lncRNA from 13 species
CUUUCUUCCCAGCCACAUUGACUAUUAAAUGCAUAGUCAUAAAAAGGUCACAUGAGAAACAAAUAAACUAGACCAAGUUCUAAGAUCUGGGGAGGCAGCAUACUUGAAGUUAAAGAACUGAGCUUCAAUACAAACCUAUUCCACCCCUAAUUCAGACUGCAUUGCAUUCUCUGGCACAUCACCAAGUCUUUCGAAGUCCCUUCAUCUAAUCAAAAAGAGAAGCUGCAUCUUUAAUAAGUGGUAAUGGUAUACAG